ensembl:lncRNA
GUGUGAGCCUGGCACCGUUACAGAGAACAUUUUGAAAUCUGUUUUUAACGGCUUCCAGUCUACUGAGUGGCUCGUUUGAAGUCAUCUUUGCUUAAUAAGAAAUAACGAGGAUGACAAGCAAGUCAAUGGAAAAAGGAAAGUCUUUUCAUCAGGUUAAGCAGACGGUGCAUUUGUCAAAACUCCCCCGACUGGACGCUUUAAGAUCUGUGCCUUGCGCCACAGAUACAUUACACCACAAUGAAAAGGAGACAACCAACGCGGGCUGCGUCUCACGACUGGCAGAUGUCGUGGGAGCAGACGUCUUGGACAGAAGUGCAGUGGCGUGUGUCCAGGGCCCAGUCCUCUGGGAGCUGCCCACCCCGCUUGGGAGCAGAGCCCCCAGCCCUGAAAUCGCUGGGCCAGGGCCAGGCGGGGCGAAUCCCCUCUACCCAGUCGGGUACCAGUGCCCUGGGCGCCCCCAUCAAGGACACCAGGGUUUGCACGACAGGGUAGGAGAAGAGGAAUGCGUUUGGUUGCUGGUCCCAC